UCGUAAGACUUGGAACAUUUGCUUAAUGGCAGGUGCAGUUCGGUUGCUGCCAAAGGUAGCGCCUUCGUUGGGAAGCUGCUGGCUGAUACCUUGGCACAUCCCCCCCCCCCGCCGGCCUCGCUCUCCCAGUGACCUUUUUUCUGUUUUCCUUUCCGCACCUGGCCGUGCGCAGCUCACGCUGUAGCGUUGCCAUCCCGCCGCAGCGGGGAGCGUGCCCCGGCCGGCACGGGGGCGCCCCGCAGGGCCGGGGGAGGGCGCAGGCCUCGGGCCCGGCCGUCAGCUGCCUCGGCCUUGUGCUGAAGUGCAGGGUGGGGAAAACGCGGGUGCCGUGCCUCGGCGGGGAGGACGGGCCAGGCUGGGGGGGGGGUCCCUUGCCUGUUCUGCAGAAAUAAACAAUAACUCAGGAUAAGUUACAAAGCGGGUGUGUUUAAUUCACCGGUGGGCAGCAGGGUCUUUGGAAUUAUCCGUCCUGAUGCCCGCCAGUGAAUUAAACAUACCUGCUUUAUAACUUAUCCUGAGUUACAGAGUUUAUUUCUGCAGAACAGUUUGGCAACCCAGAUGGGGCUCUGCCUGACUGCAAAGUUGGUUGAGGGGAGGAUGUCCUCGGAGGAACUCCCCUGCGCCUCCAGCUGCUGCAGGCGUAGACGAGGACCAUCUGCCCGCAGAUAAGAGUACCAGAAAGUUUGUGGCAUGAGCCCCCCACAGGAUCCCAUGGUGUAGGCAUUAGAAAAGGAAAACCUAAAAGAAGGAAAAGACUCACCUUUGGAACCAAAAUGGGAUGGACCAUUCCAGGUCUUAUUGACAACACACACAGCUGUUAAAUUACAGGAGCAGUUGUCGUGGAUACAUCAUUCCAGGGUGAAGAAAGCCCCUAAACAACGCUGGGAGUUAAUGGAAACUGGACCUUUAAAACUCGGACUCAGACAAAGACAUUCUUGAACAAGACAGGUUUAAUAUAAUAAUAAAAACUGAUGGGGGAGGGAAGUUUAGAUUCUUAGACUGAUCAAUAACGGGUUUGGACUGUUUGUGCUUUUUUGUAUCCUCCCUCUUGUCUACAACCAAGAGCCUAAUAACUGGCCUUGGAAUCACGCUCAGAAAAACCGCGCUGGAAUAAUGGGAAGUGUAGACCCAAACCCAAAAUUAGCUACGGUGAUUUUUUUCCGGAAAUGAGGUGUACCAAAGAAAUCAGUGGGACCGGGAUGAUGAGGACAGAGUUGCCCGAUUGUGGGGGAAACUAGGAGAUAAAAUAAAAGUAGGAUGUCAAAUAUGUAAUAAAGAUGAUAACAUCAGAAAUUUGGGAGACACCCUGGUUGAUGUCAGAAAGGAAAACUGGUUCUGUCCUGUUCCGUUCUGGAAGAAACUCAAGACACGACUGCGUCUGUGUGAAGGGAGAAGGUGUGAGGUUCAGAGCAAGAGAGACUACUAAGCCUUCAUCCUCAACCACCCUCAACAGCCACCACCAGGAGGCAGUGCGCAAGCGCAAAUGGGAGCACUAUAGUGCUUUUCUAUGGAGAAGAAACAGAAAUGUGACUGAGAAUUUACUGUUGAAAGAUUGGGAAGUGUUUUGCCAGAGAAGCCGUUCAAGUGUAGCUACAUACUCCUUCACUGAAGUCUACAAAAAAUUUCCACCACCCUCUUAGAUGAAGGUAAGGGCUUACAACUGGAAAACUGACAACACGUAGAAUGAAUUUGUUAGAGUACUGAUUAGUGCAUCAGCUUCCCUAUCCCAGAAAUCUCACAUAUGUUUGUUAUAAACCCAGUGUACAGUGUGUGAAAUAGCCUGCUCUAAUUAAAAUUGCAACAAUGCCAGGAAAGUGAAGCUAAUUCAAAUAAGCUCUGUUAAGUCAUCUAACAUGGCAGUAUAUGCCAUGAGGUCAGAUUGCUUGGAUGCAGACUGGCGACAAGGGAAAUGGUAUGUGGUGAGAUCGUGUCUUUCCUUUUUUUUUUUCCUCCUCCUUUCAGCCAACACAUUAGAAGCUCAUUUGAACAGUCAGCUUAAUUUGCUAUACUGAUGUGGUGAUGACAACUUAGACAGCAUUUAACUCUCAGGAAGUAAAGCUUGUAACAGUGAAGCCCAAAAUGUUCAGUGAUGGAAUGUAGUCAUUUUGCAAUAUUAUUUAAUUUUGGUACCUAAAAAUCUGAAGAUGGUAAGUUAGUAUCUCUGGGCAAUGCUUUCACUAUUUUUUAGAUCUGUUUUACAAGCAGUGAAUAAAUAGGCUUCUGUCAGACAAAUAGCAUAGGAAGGAAGCUGACCUCUGGUCAAUCGUGAACCUGGCAAUUGGUUAUAUGCAUGGUAUACCAAAUGUAGAUAAACUGAAAGAGAGAAAGCCUUUGCUAAAAUGCUUGGCUCUUAAAAUAUGGAAAAGUUGAUUACAAAUGUAUUUUAUGUUUCUCUUUUUACUCUAAUAUUUUUUCCCCUCAGAGGUUACGAGCUGUAGCAAGGGGAGGGCUUUCUUCACUUGUCUAUGAUUAAUUGAUUAAUUUUAUAUCAUCAUUUUUAAUAUUUUCCAGUUCCCAGGAGAGCAGCCUGGCCUACUUGUUGGUGUGAGAAAUAAUGAUACUGUCCAUGUUUGUGUCUGCAAAUAUUAAAACCUAUAAAACAAAACACCUGUUAUUUGUUAAUCCCAUCAAGUUUUAUAUGAAUCCUAAACCAUUACCUGCCUCAGUGUCUGAACAAAACACAGUCAUGCAUGGAAGCAAAAAUGUGUAUGUUUUACAAAAUUAUCAGGUAUAUAAUCACGUGGCAUUUUUUCUUACAGAGUCCAAUCUUCGUUCAACUCAGAUAGUCAACUCUUACAAUUCACUGCUCUGCAUCUGCUUCUAAAUUUUCACAUCCUCCUCCCAAAUCCAUUGUUCCUCUUGUCCAUAAGUCCUUUAUUGUUCUGCUGACUCCUUAGUGUGCCGUGCAAAAGGAAUCUUGAGGGAGCUCAGUUUCUGAUCUUAGAAAUUUCUGUGGGACAAGAGGGAAAUGACGGGUUUCAAAAGCUUUGUAAUUUUUCCUUAUUUGAAAGACUGUAGAAGGGCUGGGUUUGACUUUAUGGUCAGCUCCUCCUCACAGUUACCCUGUUUUGGGUUCUCCUCUAAAAUGCAGAAAUAGUAAGGCUUGUAACCAAAGGAUUAUCAGUUUUGUUUAAAUAAGAAAGUCAACGUAUGGUAUCCAAUUUCAGCUGAAGCUUUAAAGCAAUAUUUAAUUGCGGAUUAAUGAAGGUAAAAGUAAUUGAAACAAAUUUUAAUGGUAGAUAUUGCAGAACUGUCAUUGUAAGCUACCCGUCUUACCAGCAGUGUAGCACUCCCUAACGGUGGGGACCUGGGUGCUUUCCCCUGGCUUGCAGGAUUGUUUGGCUCAGCAAAUGUUCCACCAUAUGUGACUGCUACUGCUUUCCUGGAGAGAGUAUGAUUUAGUCUUAGAAAUCAUGAAUAUUUGAGAUUAAAUUUGCCCGCAUACUUUUUCAAGGCCAUGUGUCUGGGAUAUGUAUUAGUCUGGUUUUGUCUACAUGCACUUAGUUGCAUGUUUUUGCUUGUCUUGGUUUCAAGGUACACUGAAUGUGCUGGAAUUUAAUCCUGUUCUUAUUUCACCUGGUUAUGAUAUUCACAUAGUUCAAAUUCUCCUUUCAAAAGAGUUUUGUUCAGCUGUGUUCCGCUCAGACUCUUUCAACCAUGCUAUUGAUGAGUAGGCAUGUUUCAGGUGUGCACCUGUGCACUAAGAUAUCCUUGCUGCCCGAGGAAGAACAUGCUCUGAGGAUAGCAAAGACUGAUAGGCACUCCUGCUUCUGGCUUUUUAUAAAUUUAUGGCAAUGUUACCUGUGAUAGACCGUACCUUGGAUCUGCUUCUCCCUUGAGCACUAUGGAACCAUUAGAAGGGCAGUGGAUGCUAAGAGAUGGUGUAGAUUCAAAAGCGAAUUGGUCUCCAUCAUAGAAGAAAAAGCCACCUAAGUCUGCUAGAUACAGUGGCUGGUGGACAACUGCUGGCCUAGGGAGUCCUGAGACAAAUGAAAUUUGGUUUGAUAGUGUGAGUGCGACAAAAAGCCCUCCGCGGUGUUAUGGAAAGUUUGCAUUUUUUGUUGUUCUUCAAACGUUUAAUUUCAAUUUUUCCAUUCAUUAAUAUUUUUUGCUGAUAAGUUGUUUUGUAAGAAGAGAUGAUGUACUACUAAAUAAUUCCUGGCUUAUGCUGUCCCUGUCCUCACAGGUGAGCUGUAGUUAAAGGCGCUAUUUGGCUAUUUACUAUCAUAAAGAUUUGGUAAAUCUAGGAUUUUUGGUUCAGUUCGGAAUGAGGAGAUCCUACUAAACUAGCUUGAAUGUCUCAAUUAAAAAUUGCAAGAUGUGCCCUUAAGGUAAUGACAACCUUUGCUUUCAUUUCUGCACAUUUCUCUAAUGAUUUGAAGCCAGACUGUGUCUAAGUUUCAAUUUUUUUGUUGUUGUUGGGUUUUGUUUUUUUUAAUUUGAUGUACCAAGAGAGGAUUACUCUAUCUGUAUAUAUGUAACUCAAAAAUUCAUCUGUCCUUUUUUCUGUCCACCUGCCCCAGAAUUCUCUUUACUGCUGCAGAGCUGUUACACUAAAAAUCUUGCUUAUGUGCACAAAGGAAACACACCUUUUACAUAAGUAAAGCUAAUAAAGCUAAAAAAUUAUUGUUAGUAUAACUGAAAGCGAAGCAGUCUAACCAUUAUUAGUCCAGAUCUAAUUGUUUAAAAAAUAAUGAUAAUGCAGAUUUGUUAUACAUACACUUCCUAGUGCCUAUUCCUUCUCCCAGUGUUGGGCUCACAUCUCCACUGCUGCUCUGGGUGCUGAGCUUGGUGGUUUCAUGCUGGUGGCAGUGGUGGGGUGUUAUGGUGAAUUGCCAGCAUAUGGAAUGCUCCACGGCAAGCAAUAUGAUGGUCAUAUUGAUGGUUUCUUCUUCGCUCUGGGAUCAACUUGGGGUCAUUUUUAUAUGUCUUUCAACUACAUUUUACAUCUUUCCUCUGUCUUCAUUGGUCUGCAGUUCCAUAUUACACCCAAAUUUACUAUAUGUGGUGUCUUUUACGUAAGUUAGAUACUAUUUCUUUGUUACCCCUAAACCCAGUUUUGUCCAGCUUCAGGUCUUCAUUUCUUUAACUGAACAUGGUUGAGUUAUAGCCAAGGAGUCUCCAGUGCCAGCCUGUGCUCCUUCCUUCAGCAUCCUAUGCUUGUGGCCCUCUUCACUGCAUCCUGUCUUUGCGGCUCAAGGGCUCUGCAGUUGUACCAUGCCUGUCUCUCUCUGUACUGCAUCAUCAUGCUAGUAGUAAACGCUAUUCUGUGUAGAGUAUCUGCUUGUUACUGCUUUCUGUGUAAAAACUGUGGUUGGUACUAUACAAAGACAAAUAAAACAAAGUAACUGUAGACACCUGGUACCCUUCCUGCUAUUCCAGCUUGUUCUCUGUUGAUAUUCUUAGCAGCUGGUUCAACUGGGUCAAAAGACUUCCAGGAAUGAAAGAAUGAAACAUGGGUGUAGAUACAUGUGGAUGAUAGUCAAAAUAUAUGUGGCUGACAGUCAAAUACGUACAGUGUUGACAACGAGACAAAAGGGGAUUCCCCACCCCCACCCCCCCUUCCGCCUGCAGGGCUGUGAAAAUAUGAAGAAAUGCACAGACAAUGGAUUGUGCAAGCCUUCUACAGAGAAACUGAGAGCACAAUGAACAAAUUCCCUUCCUUGUCCUCAGGCAUUGUAUGGUAAAUGGAAGAUCUGGGGUUAUUCUGAAAAGUAGCGAGAAUGAAAAUCUGGAAAUUUGCAUGCAGUGAUUUGGAGAAUUCUUUAAUAGAAUAUCUUCUCCUCUUUUAAAUUAAUGUAAUUUACUUUUAUUUAAUUGUCCUCUCCCUCUGCUGGAAAAUAACCCCUCCCAAUCCUGUUGCAUAUAUGUUUUAGUCUUAUAUAGUUCAAUACAGUUUGCAGGGGGAAUGCCCAGGACAUUUUCCAUGGUAACUGACAACUACUGAAGUAGGACUUAAACGCUUUAAACAGCGUAAAUCAAGUAAUAAUAAUGCUGUUAUCACUUAUAUUCCUUUCUUACAAUCUCCGUAGUGUUAUUAUAAAGGUAUAUAAAACCUUACAUAAUAGCAGAAAGCUUUAUAGCUUAUAAGAACUUGUUCAACAUAAAGACAGUUUUAAAUAUAUGGUGGUAAGGCUUUUUGAUGAGAUGUAUGAAGCAUUCUAGAGAAAAACACAUUGUACUGCAAUUUCAUUGAUGUAAGGUGGCAGAUGGAAACCUUGUCGUCUGCAGUACCACCUCAUUUCAAAGAGAAUGCAUUAACAGAGACAGAGUAUUGCAAUUUUUAAUGUAAAUAAUGAUUUGCCUUUCUGAAAGGGCCCAUUUACAGCGUUGAGGCCAUUAAACUUCUGCCUUGACUUUUUAGGACUGUAAUUCUGCAAGGGUAUUGCAGAGCCAGUUUGAGAUUGACAAUUAAGUUCUCGCUUGUGCUACAAAGCUUUCUUUUAUAUUUCUGUUAAACUCAACAAACGACUGCUACUAAUGUUUUGCUCAUCAACUAGUAAGUGGAGGCCAUUUAAAGCAGAAAUGUAGGGUUUAGCUCCAGCUGCUGUUCUAAUGUUGCAGAAAGCUUUUGCUGCAGUUCAUUAAAUUCAAGUUCAGGCAGUCGCAAAACUGCUAGCUAAUUAUUUUUUUCUUUCCUUGGCUGAGUGAAACCUGGUAUCACUGACUUCCACUCACAAAAUAGAGCUACAGAAUUCUUCAUUCUUGGAGACUGAAGACACAGAGCAGUGAGGAAGAUACCAGCGUAAUCCUUAAAAUAACAGAUCAAGCAGGACUCGGCAAAGAUGACAGUUUUCAAAAGGAUGUAGGAGAUGCUUCACUAGCAUGUCACCGCCGGACAACCCCCUCGGUGGCCAGGGGCACUGCCCAAAUGAAGGGAAGCAAAAUAAGUCACCUGCUCGCUCUGCUGACAAACAAAUGAACCGGCAAGCACAUACUAUGACACCCCCCCCCCCCCCCCCCCCCCCGCCUUCCUGAAAAAGUGCAAAUUGUUUGUUCAUCUGCCUGGUCAUUACCUGCUUUUGGGUAGACAUUCAGCUGUACUGUGUCUAAGGAAACGACCAGAAGACUGAGAAAUAACCUUUUCUGUAGCCAUAUUGUGCUUAGUGGUGCCAAGCAGUUUCUGAAUGGCUGCUUAAGCUCACUACUGUUGCAGCAGGAUAAUUUUCUAGACCUAAUAUUGUAGAUCUUCACAUUACUAGAAGGCUAAAACAUUUACAAGGCUUGUCUAAGUCUCUUGAUUUACAUCCCUGUUUAUCUCCUUUCAUUAUACUUUUCUUGGAAAAUUGUAUUCUCCUAGUAUUUUUUUAAAAUAAAGAAUACACUUUCCAAUCUGUAAGCCAUUACUCUAGAAGUCUUGCAACCGAUUGCCAAAGUUCUUUACUGAAUGUGAAGACCUUAUGAUCUUCAUUAGCAUACCAUAGGUAAUUCUCUUAUGCAGAGUUUAAAUUAGAAUUUUGAUUUUCUUCUUUCACGUAUCUUUUUUAACUGUUUGUAGAAUUCUGCCUGUACUGAAUCAAGCAACUAAAUCAUCUUAAAAAUUCCUCUAUUGAAUUGCAGGUGUGAAGACAAUUCCAAUGCUUCCGUUGAUUCCAGCAGGAGAAAAUGCAGACAGUAACCACUAGAAAAUACUGAAUCUGAGAAUGCCUCCUUUCUGGAUGUACAUAUGAGGCCUUUAUAAUCUGGAGUGAUAACAGGACAGAAUUUUGCAAAAGUGAGAUUUUGGGGAAGGUUUUCUAAAAAAACAAACAAAUCCAGAAGACCCCCAAAUGCCUGCUAAUGCAGUACAGCCAAGAGCCUGAUGUGUAUGACCACACUUCCCUCACCUUCCACCUGCACAGUCAUUUGGAUCGGAAAUUUCAAACAGGACCUAGAAGACUUCAGGGGGAGCAUUCUCAAAGCCAACAUCUGGAUAAUCCCAAUGGAGCCGAGAUGUGGGGCAGAGGCAGCGAGACAGCCAGAGAGUGAGCUGCUAGCAGUGGGAAGUCCUUCAGCAUGAUCACAGGGCAGUUUAUUGGCCCAGGACUCAUUUAUGUCGUUAGCAUCAGUUUCCAUUCUAGCUCCAUUAAAUCAAUCUACUUGUUAUUUUCAUUCUUGUUGCUAUUUGAUUUUAAAUUAAAUACCCUUAGCAUGUUUGACCUCAUCUGUAUCUUAACUGCACAUGCACAACUUCCACUACUCCAUAAAGUAAUAUUUUUUCAAUUUCUUCCCCUACCAAAUGCAAGUUUUGCUGUAAAACAACUUCUCCUCACAGAACAUUCGAAAACACCAAAAAAGAAAACUCAUAAAUAGAAAUAUCUGUUGUUAAUAAGGACUUACUUACGUGCAGUUUGUAUUUUGGACAUGAUGGCCCUGCAGGCUGAAGUAUACAUCCCAUUGCCUUGUUUGCCCUGAUCCUAGAUGCACUCCCUUCUCCCAGGAAAAACAGUGUGACUUUAUCUGUGUGAUCUUGCUCUGAACCCCAAAUGAGCAUCUCACAACUCAAGGUCAGUGCAUGCUGUUUGACUCACUACUUUUAUCUGACUCAUUUUUCAAAUUUCUAAAUUACUUUUUUAAAAACGUUAUUUUACAGGACAUUAGCUAGCCUUGUUGCACCUCCCUGACAAUGAAAAUUCCACAAAAAAUCUGAAUUAUUUCAUUACAAGUGCCAAAAUUUUUAUUGCAUGAAUGUAUGUUUCAAUGUAAGAAAACACAGCUAAAUUUUUUCUGACCAAAUACUUACACCUUCCUGACACCUCUGUUAAUGCAGUUGAUGUUUCCACAAUGGAAUAAUAACAAAAAUUAGUCAGACCAACUGCUCAGAUUCACAGUAGUGCUCUCUAUUGCUGUACAGUCAAAUUCAGGCUUUCUGUUCUUUAGCAAGGCAUAGUCUUGCAGUCACAUGAACAACUUGUUCAAGAUUAAUCAAAACAGAAACAUUUUAGCUUCAUUACAUUAAUCAAGCUAAUGAAACAUUAUAACUGAUAAUAUCUGAUAUAACUGAAAUAACUGAUCCAUUAAAGAUGAAUUGAAUAGAUUUGACCUGACAUCUAAUGAUACGAUAAUACGAAUGAGAGGAAUUCAGACUUUGGUACUGUUUAAUAGGUUAGUUUCUUCUCUCCUUGGCUUACUUCCAUUGAUAAGUGUAAGGGGUUUCAGGUUGUUUUGGCUUUGCUUAUUUUAAAAUAGUAUUAUCUCCUUGAAAAAACAGACUGGCAUUACCUUGUGUAUGGAUUUAUUUAUUUUUGCCAAAGCAGGAAUCUCUGUUAAUGAGGUCACUCCUGUUAUGUAACUAAAGGCAUCUAACGAAUUUCUGAAUUCCCCCUGGAGAGAUUAUUUCUAAGUCUACAAAGGAACUGUCAUCUCAGACUCCUCAGUUUGGGGUAAUACAACAGCACAGACACAUGACGAGGA